AGAGUUUGAUCCUGGCUCAGAACGAACGCUGGCGGCGCGCUUAAGACAUGCAAGUCGAACGGUAAGGCUCGGUACUCUUCGGAGUAACGAGCACACGAGUGGCGCACGGGUGAGUAACGCGUGGGUAAUCUGCCCUCAGGUUUGGGACAACUCCGGGAAACUGGAGCUAAUACCGAAUAAGACCACGAGAUCCUCGGAUCUUGCGGAAAAAGGUGGCCUCUUCUUGAAAGCCAUCGCCUGUUGAUGAGCCCGCGUCCCAUUAGCUUGUUGGUGAGGUAACGGCUCACCAAGGCAUCGAUGGGUAGCUGGUCUGAGAGGAUGAUCAGCCACACUGGAACUGAGACACGGUCCAGACUCCUACGGGAGGCAGCAGUCGGGAAUCUUGCACAAUGGGCGAAAGCCUGAUGCAGCAACGCCGCGUGAGGGAUGAAGGCCCUCGGGUCGUAAACCUCUGUCGGAAGGGAAGAAAGUAUUCCGGGCCAAUACCCCGGAGUAUCGACGGUACCUUCAAAGGAAGCGCCGGCUAACUCCGUGCCAGCAGCCGCGGUAAUACGGAGGGCGCGAGCGUUAUUCGGAAUUAUUGGGCGUAAAGCGCGUGUAGGCGGCUGGGAAAGUCGGAUGUGAAAGCCCGGGGCUCAACCCCGGAAUUGCAUACGAAACUUCCCAGCUAGAGUCUCGGAGAGGAGGGCGGAAUUCCCG
rnacentral:rRNA from 1 species